rnacentral:rRNA from 1 species
CAGCCGCCGCGGGAAUACGUAGGGUGCAAGCGUUAAUCGGAAUUACUGGGCGUAAAGCGUGCGCGGGCGGUUUGUUAAGACAGAUGUGAAAUCCCCGGGCUCAACCUGGGAACUGCAUUUGUGACUGGCAAGCUAGAGUGUGGCAGAGGGGGGUGGAAUUCCGCGUGUAGCAGUGAAAUGCGUAGAUAUGCGGAGGAACACCGAUGGCGAAGGCAGCCCCCUGGGCCAACACUGACGCUCAUGCACGAAAGCGUGGGGAGCAAACAGGAUUAGAUACCCGAGUAGUCCCUGUCUCUUAUAC